rnacentral:rRNA from 1 species
AUUGAACGCUGGCGGCAGGCCUAACACAUGCAAGUCGAGCGAGCGGCGGACGGGUGAGUAAUGUCUGGGCAACUGCCUGAUGGAGGGGGAUAACUACUGGAAACGGUAGCUAAUACCGCAUACCAUCAGAUGUGCCCAGAUGGGAUUAGCUAGUAGGUGGGGGAACGGCUCACCUAGGCGACGAUCCCUAGCCGGUCUGAGAGGAUGGCCAGCCACAAGGGAACUGAGAAACGGUCCAGACUCCUACGGGAGGCAGCAGUGGGGAAUAUUGCACAAGGGGCGCAAGCCUGAUGCAGCCAUGCCGCGUGGGUGAAGAAGGCCUUAGGGUUGUAAAGCACUUUCAGCGGGGAGGCGUUACCCGCAGAAGAAGCACCGGCUAACUCCGUGCCAGCAGCCGCGGUAAUAC